rnacentral:lncRNA from 1 species
UGGGACCUAGGGUUGGCUGCAGCCAGGGUUUCAGGGGUGUGUUGUGACUCCACUGUGCCAGGUGGCCCAGAUUUGGAGGUCAAAGACUGCAGUCCAAAGUCAAGUUCAAGGAGCCAGGAAGAGCAACAAGAGAAAGGACUGGCAAAAAAGAACUUGCAGAAGUGAGAAUACAGGUCAGGAGUCCCUGAAGAGUCCCAGAAGCAACAGAACGGCUUUGGAGCCAAGCUGGGCCAUGGAUCACACAGCUGAGGAGACUGACACUCAGAUGGCCCUGAAUGAGAGCUCCAGACCCUGCAGCUGGCCAUGCAGAGGUUUGGGCCAGAAAUAACUUCACCUCCCUGCACCUAUUUGCUCGAUCCUGUGAAUGUUUGCCAGAUUCAGCAGAGAGCCCUGCACCAGCAAGAAGGCCUUCACCAGAUGCUGCUUCUCAGCCUUGAACUUUCCAGCCUUCAGAACCAUGAGCCAAAU